UACUUGGUCUUGAUUAUCCUACUCGGAUAACUGUGGCAAUUCUAGAGCUAAUACACGCAAUAAAGCUCCGACCUUACGGGACGAGCGCAUUUAUUAGACCAAAACCAAUCGGGCUUCGGCCUGAGCUGUGGUGACUCUGAAUAACUAAGCUGAUCGCAUGGUCUUUGUACCGGCGACGCAUCUUUCAAGUGUCUGCCUUAUCAACUUUCGAUGGUAGUUUAUGUGCCUACCAUGGUUGUUACGGGUAACGGAGAAUAAGGGUUCGACUCCGGAGAGGGAGCCUGAGAAAACGGCUACCACAUCCAAGGAAGGCAGCAGGCGCGCAAAUUACCCACUCUCGGCACGAGGAGGUAGUGACGAAAAAUAACG
rnacentral:rRNA from 1 species